ACUAGAGGGCAGAGCGUCUCUGCUGAUGCACCCUGUAGGACAGGCUGAUUGCAGCUGAUUGCUGUAGAAGGGGGUAAGUCAGAGGCAGAUGCCUUUGCAGUGUGUUAAGACAUCUCAUCUGGGUCCUUUGGGGGAAAGGAAGAGGCCACGGAGGAUCGAAGUAGCUCUCCCGUCUGGAGACCGCAGGUCCCGAGAGGAGGAGCCAUGAGGAGGGCUGCAGGACGAUUCCUUCUGCUCACGUGGCUGCACUGUGUGAGUGGAGGAGAGCAGGUGGAGCAGAGUCCUGCUUUCCUGAAUGUCCAGGAGGGAGAGAGCUGUGUCAUCACCUGCACGUACUCAGACAGUGCCACCACCACCUUGUACUGGUAUAAGCAGGAACCUGGAAAAGGUCUCCAGUUGUUUGUAACUAUUUUCUCAAGUAUGGACAAGAAAGAAGACAAACGAUUCACCGUCCUCUUGAACAAGAAGGAGAAGCAGGUCACCCUGCACAUCUCAGCUGCCCAUCCUGCCGACUCAGCCACCUACUUCUGUGCAGCAAGUGCACAGUGCUCCCCCUGCACCUGCAGCCUGUACCCAAACCUGCCAUGGUCUAUAGACCUCCUUUGUUCUUGCUUGAUCUUGAGUUUGGGAUUUUCUCCAAAUAUGUUUUAG